AAGGGCACCACAAGAACGCGUGGAGCAUGUGGCUUAAUUUGACUCAACGCGGGAAAUCUUACCGGGUCCGGACACACUGAGGAUUGACAGGUGUUUCGUAUAUAUAUAUAAGUUUUAUACUUAUAUGAGUUUAUACAUAUCAAAUAUGCUAGUCCUUUCAUGAUUGUGUGAUAGGUGGUGCAUGGCCGUUCUUAGUUCGUGGAGUGAUCUGUCUGCUUAAUUGCGUUUCACUUAUAGCAUUAUGUAUUUUAUUAAUUAUUGCAUUGCGACCCUACUUCGGUAGUUGCGUCCGGCAUAAUUUACUUAUACAUUUGCUUCGAAGGCAACGAACGUGACCGCUAUCUCUUGUUGCCUCCCUUGUAUUUUUACUUUAUUAAAUACUUUAUUGUAUUUUACUAAGUAAUAUACACAUAUACUUUUGUAUAUGCCGUGGAGGGAAACUAGAGAGACCGCUGACAUUUUUUAAACCAGAGAAAGGUGGCGGCAAUAACAGGUCUGUGAUGCCCUCAGAUGUUCCGGGCUGCACACGUGCUACAAUGAUUAUUGCAGUGAGCAUCUUACCCAGUUCGUAGGCACAGUUGUUAUAUUACUGCUUAUAUAAGCGUUAAUAUACACUGUUGCUUUUUAUAUAUACGACUAGGCAACUUCGAAAGUAAGUUGCUAAUCAAUUCGAAGUAAUGAUUUCCAUUUUUUUUAUAUAGCACACUUUACAUAUACAUUAGUAUUAUUUGUUAUACCUUUGCGUAUAAUUAAAUAUAUUAAUUGCUAUAUGUGCUCCAUUAAUUCGUGGUGGGGACAGACCAUUGUUAAUUGUUGGUCUCGGUCUCAACUAGGAAUGCCUUGUACGGGUCUUUGGUUCAACAGACCACCCGGAAUAUGUCCCUGCCCUUUGUACACACCGCCCGUCA
rnacentral:rRNA from 1 species